GAAAUCGCAUCGCACUCGAGCGACCUUAUCUUGGAAGCGGGCCACAAAUA
rnacentral:rRNA from 1 species